rnacentral:lncRNA from 1 species
AAAACUUGGACUUGGAGCUCUCUCAUUUGAGCCCACAAAGCCAUGAAAAUCAGGUUAUAAAAGAGGGAGAUCAGAUAGAAAAAGGAAGGGAAGCAAAAAUACUCUGAGGUUUCCUUGAAACAAAACCCUGGACAAAACCUGGAGAGAAACUUGACAGAGAACUCAGAGCAACCCCCAGGCAGCUCUGAAAAAUUCAAUCUGACUCACAC